UACGUAGGUGGCAAGCGUUGUCCGGAUUUACUGGGCGUAAAGAGCGCGCAGGCGGUCGUUCAAGUCGCGUGUGAAAGCCCCCGGCUCAACUGGGGAGGGUCACGCGAUACUGAUCGACUGGAAGGCAGGAGAGGGUAGUGGAAUUCCCGGUGUAGUGGUGAAAUGCGUAGAUAUCGGGAGGAACACCAGUGGCGAAGGCGACUACCUGGCCUGUUCUUGACGCUGAGGCGCGAAAGCUAGGGGAGCGAAUGGG
rnacentral:rRNA from 1 species